AUGUGUCACGCAUCUACUGCGGUUGCCAGCAUGCCGUCCGCACCCAACUGACGACCACCCGCGACGCUUCGUUGGCU
rnacentral:sRNA from 1 species